rnacentral:rRNA from 1 species
GAGGGGCAGCGGGGCGGCAGGCUUGCCUGCCGCCGCCGGCGACCAGCGCACGGGUGAGUAACACGUAUGCAACCUGCCCGUGGCAGGGGGAUAAGCGGGGGAAACCCCGUCUAAUACCGCGUAACGCGGCCUAGGGACAUCCCAAGGCCGCCAAAGGGAGCAAUCCCGGCCACGGAUGGGCAUGCGGCGCAUUAGCUAGUCGGCGGGGUAACGGCCCACCGAGGCGACGAUGCGUAGGGGUUCUGAGAGGAAGGCCCCCCACACUGGUACUGAGACACGGACCAGACUCCUACGGGAGGCAGCAGUGAGGAAUAUUGGUCAAUGGGCGCGAGCCUGAACCAGCCAAGUCGCGUGAGGGAGGACGGCCCUACGGGUUGUAAACCUCUUUUGCCGGGGAGCAACGGGCGCCACGUGUGGCGCCACUGAGAGUACCCGGAGAAAAAGCAUCGGCUAACUCCGUGCCAGCAGCCGCGGUAAUACGGAGGAUGCGAGCGUUAUCCGGAUUUAUUGGGUUUAAAGGGUGCGUAGGCGGAUCGUUAAGUCAGUGGUCAAAUUGAGGGGCUCAACCCCUUCCCGCCAUUGAAACUGGCGAUCUUGAGUGGAAGAGAAGUAUGCGGAAUGCGUGGUGUAGCGGUGAAAUGCAUAGAUAUCACGCAGAACCCCGAUUGCGAAGGCAGCAUGCCGGCUUCCUACUGACGCUGAAGCACGAAAGCGUGGGGAUCGAUCAGGAUUAGAUACCCUGGUAGUCCACGCGGUAAACGAUGAGCGCUAGGUGUCCGGGGGGAAUGGCCCCUGGGUGC